UACGGAGGGUGCGAGCGUUGUCCGGAAUCACUGGGCGUAAAGGGCGCGUAGGCGGCCUGAUAAGUAGGGGGUGAAAUCCUGCGGCUUAACCGCAGGGCUGCCUUCUAAACUGUCAGGCUGGAGCACAGUAGAGGCAGGUGGAAUUCCCGGUGUAGCGGUGAAAUGCGCAGAUAUCAGGAAGAACACCCGUGGCUAAGGCGGCUCUCUAGUACGGUACUGACGCUGAGACGCGAAAGCGUGGGGAGCGAACAGG
rnacentral:rRNA from 1 species